rnacentral:rRNA from 1 species
AGAGUUUGAUCCUGGCUCAGAUUGAACGCUGGCGGCACGCCUAACACAUGCAAGUCGAGCGGUAGCAUGGUAUGUAGCAAUACAUACUGAUGACAAGCGGCGGACGGGUGAGGAACACGUAGGAAUCUGCCCUCAAGCGGGGGACAACCAAGGGAAACUUUGGCUAAUACCGCAUAAUCUCGAGAGAGAAAAGCUACCCGCAAGGGCGGCACUUGAGGAGGAGCCUGCGUCCGAUUAGCUAGUUGGUGAGGUAACGGCUCACCAAGGCGAUGAUCGGUAACUGGUCUGAGAGGACGACCAGUCACACUGGGACUGAGACACGGCCCAGACUCCUACGGGAGGCAGCAGUGGGGAAUAUUGGACAAUGGGGGCAACCCUGAUCCAGCGAUGCCGCGUGAGUGAAGAAGGCCUUCGGGUCGUAAAUCUUUUUAUGUUGGAAGAAGGACAUACGGUGCAUAGCCGUGUGUUUGACGUACCGACAG